rnacentral:misc_RNA from 1 species
GAUGAAGAACGCAGCGAAAUGCGAUAAGAAGUGUGAAUUGCAGAAUUCAGUGAAUCAUCGAAUCUUUGAACGCACAUUGCGCCCCUUGGUAUCCCGAGGGGCAUGCCUGUUCGAGCGUCAUUUCACCACUCAAGCCUGGCUUGGUGUUGGGCGACGUCCCCUUUGGGGACGCGCCUCGAAACGCUCGGCGGCGUGGCACCGGCUUUAAGCGUAGCAGAAUCUUUCGCUUUGGAAGUCGGGGCCCCGUCUGCCGGAAGACCUACUCGCAAGGUUGACCUCGGAUCAGGCAGGGAUACCCGCUGAACUUAAGCAUAUCAAUAAGCGGAGGA